GCUGGUGUGGUGGAAUUUGCAGCCUCGUCAGACUAAGGAUCUGGUGCCGCGAGGUGUGGGAGUUCGUAUCUCCCCACCCGCAC
rnacentral:tRNA from 1 species